CGCGUAGGCGGCCUUCUAAGUCAGACGUGAAAUCCCCGGGCUCAACCCGGGAACUGCGUCUGAUACUGGAAGGCUUGAAUCCGGGAGAGGGAUGUGGAAUUCCAGGUGUAGCGGUGAAAUGCGUAGAUAUCUGGAGGAACACCGGUGGCGAAGGCGGCAUCCUGGACCGGUAUUGACGCUGAGGCGCGAAAGCCAGGGGAGCAAACG
rnacentral:rRNA from 1 species